GACGAACGCUGGCGGCGUGCUUAACACAUGCAAGUCGAACGGGAUUUCGUAAACAGACGCCUCGGUGGAAGAUUACUAAUGAGAGUGGCGAACGGGUGAGUAACGCGUGAGCAACCUGCCUAUGACAGUGGGAUAGCCUCGGGAAACCGGGAUUAAUACCGCAUAAAAUCGUAGAAACACAUGUUUUAACGGUCAAAGAUUUAUCGGUCAUAGAUGGGCUCGCGUCUGAUUAGCUAGUUGGUGAGAUAACAGCCCACCAAGGCGACGAUCAGUAGCCGGUCUGAGAGGAUGAACGGCCACAGUGGAACUGAGACACGGUCCAAACUCCUACGGGAGGCAGCAGUGGGGAAUAUUGCACAAUGGGGGAAACCCUGAUGCAGCGACGCCGCGUGAACGAAGAAGGUAUUCGUAUCGUAAAGUUCUGUCCUAUGGGAAGAUAAUGACAGUACCAUAGAAGAAAGCUCCGGCUAAAUACGUG
rnacentral:rRNA from 1 species